GCUGUUAACCACACCGUUAGAAAUUAACAGAACUGCUAUCUCACUGUCUCAUUUUUGAAAAUGAACUGAAAUGCCACCAUUGGAUCAUAGUUGAACUGUGUGGUUAACGGCAGGUACAAUUACACUAUUGUCAAUAGUUCAGGGUGUGGUUGUUAAAAAAAAAAAGGUUUAAAGUUUAGGAUUUUUUUGGCCAUUAUCCCUUAAGUUUAUUUAGGAUUCUUAAUUAGUAUUGGCUUAGUAAUUUUUUUUUUUUGGGAAUGUGUUUCUCACCCCUAUUUUCCCAUAACUCUUCUUGCUCUACGUUGCUUAAAUCUCAUGAAUUUUCAUUAACAUAGUUAAUAAAUGGCUGGCAUAAAUUCUUCCCUCCUUCUUGGAUUCUAAGGAGAUAUCGAAGUUUAAGAGGGAGACAGAUUGAGAGAUGGAGAGAGAAACGAUAAAUUUGUACUUCUGAAUAUUUCUUUUUUUCUACUUUUUGUCUUUUUUAAGGAUUCUUGAAAGGGAGAAUGGGAGGUAUAAAGGGAUGCAAAGUGACUUCAUUUCUUUUUCCCAUUAUCCUUGAAUUUUGGUUUAUAUAACAAACACUUAAUUCAGUCAAAAUAAAAUUAUAUAUAUCAGAUUGAAGUAGCUUUGACCACAUCCAAAAUGGCUGUGACAAUAGCAACUUCCUUUAGAAAUGUUAAAUAUGGCCUUUUGGUUGCACAAGGGAGAUUUUAUUUUAUUUUAUUUUUUGGGGGGCUUUUUUUCACUGGUGCAUGAAAGGGCAGCUGAGGCUGAGCUGCUGACGCGAGAGGAGA
rnacentral:misc_RNA from 1 species